CUUUUUUCCCUUGCAACGUACUACAAACUUCAAAAGUAUUCCAUAUAAAAAAAAGAAGAUGUCAUAUGAUUGCAAAUGAGACAACUCUCCAAAUGAGACCAAAUGAGACAUAAAACAAUUAUAGGUCCCGUACGGGCUUCAACAAUGAGUAAAAUUCAUACUGCAUAGUCUUUAAUUCCCGAAAUGAAUAAUGUAAAACAAACAAAAAUCUAACGGCCUGAUUAACAUGAUUAAUGUACAAAAUAAAUAAGAAAGAAACAAAUAUAGUAUAGAGAAACAAACGACAAACACUGCAGUACCGUCUCGUGACUUGAAACAGACACAUACAGAUAGUGGCGGGGUUUAACUUUUUUAAGGGCACGCCAACACUCCCCUAACCUCGGGGCUUGAACCAUGUGUACCAGUGCAACAAGCUUUAUACCAAAUCAACCGUUAUCUCCAUCAUCUUCAUUUUCAUCAACCGUCACAAGACGUGUUUUAAUAUUUCUACACAUUUCACUCAUGGCAACA
rnacentral:lncRNA from 1 species